UACGUAGGGUGCAAGCGUUCAUCGGAAUUACUGGGCGUAAAGCGUGCGCAGGCGGUUUUGUAAGUCUGUCGUGAAAUCCCCGGGCUCAACCUGGGAAUUGCGAUGGAGACUGCAAGGCUGGAGUCUGGCAGAGGGGGGUAGAAUUCCACGUGUAGCAGUGAAAUGCGUAGAGAUGUGGAGGAACACCGAUGGCGAAGGCAGCCCCCUGGGUCAAAACUGACGCUCAUGCACGAAAGCGUGGGGAGCAAACAGG
rnacentral:rRNA from 1 species